rnacentral:tmRNA from 1 species
GGGGGCGUAACGGCUUCGACGGUGAACGCUGGAGGAGAGGCUGCAAGCCGGGGCGCAUACUAACCCCGUCAAAAAGUGUGCAACGGCAAUUAACUGCCAACGAUAAUCUCGCACUCGCUGCCUAACUAAACCUUAGCGCAGCGAUGUCCGCCGUCGGGUCGCCUGAAUCCGACGGGCCGGGCAUCGACCCCCUCAGGCUGGCUUAGGUGCGCGGCCCGCGCACCCGAGUGAGAUCAUGGGCUGGUUUGCAAGGCGCGCCCGUCGGACGGCGUUCCACCGCGAAUGAGAUACGAUUGGCCGGACCCCUCAUCCCCCAAACCCGGGUAACCGGGCGCAAGGUUUAAGGACGAAAGCCCCUCUUAAAUAGCCCGACUACGCUUGUAGACGCCGCUCAAACAGGUUCUUCGGACGCGGGUUCGACUCCCGCCGCCUCCACCA